rnacentral:lncRNA from 1 species
CCUUGGGGGGGGGAGUGAAAGCAUUGAGAGAAGAAAACAAGACAGCAGCCGCCACCCCCUCCACUCUUCUUCAUGUGCUGUUUGGAAGAAUGACAGGGAUGGAAAGAGAAAAUAUGCCUGUGGCAGGAAAGAGAAACCGAACCAGCUCAUUACUGACCCAAACACAGAGAGGGAAGGAGAUAUAAAAGUUGAAAAUAUACUGAGGAACAAAGAGGAAAGAAAAUGCAAGAAGGAUACCAGAUCCAGAGAAAAUACUUUGGAUUUUCUUCCCCUUUUACAUGCCGGCGCGGCAUCGUUACGACGAUUCCAUCACAGCGUGACAGCAGCAUAUUUUAGAGAGCCCUCUGUAACACAGGCGGUCUGUGGGUCAGCUGAGCGAGCCCUGUUAGAGGAGUCUGCAGGGUCCUCUAAUAAGCAGCAGACCCUCAGAAUAGCAAACAAGCCUACUACUGAGAAGAAAAUGAAAGAGGAGCCACCCCUUCAACAGGAUACAAACGUCCCCUGUCUGUGCUUUUCUUCCUCCUCUUUCACUUUUUUUCUGCACUUUCUUCGCAUCUUCUUUUGGCCUACAUCUCCUCUGUUAUUCACGCAUGUUUCCUCUUUCGCCUUAUCUGCCUAUCUCUCCUUUUCUUCUUAUCUCCCCCCAUCCCCUUCCCUGGGAGGACAUAACAAGCUCACUGACUCCCACUCGGCAUGUACCAGUGCUGUCCUGUUUUUAUGGGGUGACAAAUUAGCCCGGUAGAGAAGCAAGCUGCCAUGGCUGAGCAGUAAACAACGAGCUCGUCUGAGUGGAAAAAUACAGGGUUUGGAGUUGCAAAGGAUCCCUUCAUCGCUGCUGCUCGUCAUCACGCCUCCUUCAACUCCGACUCCUGCCUCCCUCCGGCCUGAGGAGCAUGCCCGCUGAUUCCACAUGGCUCGAGCCCAGCGAGCACAGCCAUGGUGCAAUGAGCCACAGCUUAACACCAUCUCAGAUACUGACAGUGUGAUUGCCGCCGAGGAAAUGGAGCAGAAUGGCAGCCAGCGAAGCCAAAACGACAAGUCAACAGGCCGGAGAGUGGGCGAUUUCUGGGUAAUGAAAGUGUAAUAUUUUCGGUCUGGUUUGGAAGUUAAGCAGAAAGAGUUGAAGUACUAGCUUUAAUGCGCUUUCAGAAAAAACUAGACAUGCCCUCUGUAGAUCAGUCAAAUUAGGUCGUUUUCUGAAGAGACGGCGCACAUAUGGAUACAUGCAAUUCAAUUCCGAUUCAUGCACUCUCAGAGAGCUGACCCAGAAUAGCCUUUCCCAUAAUCCUGCUUUUCAGGAGGGCAAAAGGGCGACAAAGUGAAAAAGUCAGGCCUUUAAUGGAUUAUACCCGAGGAUGACUGACCAAAUCACAAAAAUCCUUUUCUUCCUUUUAGCAAAAUAAAAAUGUCAUAUCCACAAAAACGAGCUAUCAAAUAAUAGGAGGAAGAUUCAUUUGGAUGUGAAAUGUUAAUUCUGUGACUUCUUUAGAUGUCUUUGUUUUACAUGUAGAAAAAUAUAAACAUAAAUCUAAAAUGUGGAUGUUUGCAAAUCAUUAUAUGUUAUAUGUUCAACAAUCUGGGAAUAUUUUUUGUAUAAUUAACACCGAGUUAGUGAUUUUGAUUGAGUCCUCAUUAUUACAGACAUGACUCUGUAGUGGAAAUCACAGCAUGGACUCAAAACUGUCUCUGAACUCUUCUCGGGAAAGACCCUCUAGGUUUCAGCGAGGUAAUACCAAACCUCAUUCUACACAUAUAACAACAGUGUGGCUCUGUAGAAGAAGAGUCCAGAUGCCCAUCUAGGUUUGAAACAUAAAUACAACAAAAAAAUAUAACAUUUUCUGGCAAGACACGCAAUCACAGAAAAAGUUAGUCCACAUAAUUGAUUUUAGGAGAAGACUUACUGUCUCCACACAACAAGCGUGAGUAAAAUCAUUUGCGCGAAUGAAUUACAUGUUAAGUCAAUGCAAAGGAGCGAUUAGACGCUCCUACAACUCUGGCGAAUGAUGCAAAUUGGGCGAAUCUUAACUUGAGCAGAUAUUUGUGUUGCGAUAUCUAAUCAGCACGAACGUUGCCGGGUUACGUAUGAAAACGGACUAUUGUUCACUGGGUAUCUAAAAUGGAGGACAAACUUAUUGAGUUGUUGUGUGCCCCAAAUCAUAUAUUUUCUUUCAAUUACCGAAACUGGAAUAAAAAGGAGUUCGUCUGGAGGCAAGUGGGUGAGGAGGUCGGAUUACCCGGUAAAUUCUAAAAAACCCCGUUAUUACUUGAUUGGUUGAAUUGGCAGGGAUGACCGUUCAAAUUACCGUUGACGUGUGAAUGAAGCGAGUAAAAACUAUUCAUUCAUUCAUAAAGCGAGUCGAUGAUUUUACUCUCGCUUGGUGUGAGCGCCCCAUAAGGCUCAUGAUUGGUCCCCAUGAUCAACAUUUUGCCAACUAUCAGGUUAAGGUCAUCCGGACCUUGCAGGACUACGUUAAGCCAACAUCUUUGAAGUGACUCCGAAAGAAAGCAACAGACUGGAGUCACCCUAACCCUGGAGCUGACCUCAGUCCAGCUGUGCAAAGUCGAGCGUCCUUCUCGCCUCAUUCUACCUCGAUGCUGUUCUGCGGUUUUGUCGGUACAAUCAGACUUUGUUUGCUGAGUUUGCACUCGGUCAUCCUGUUUCUCCUUUACGCACAGGAAAAAUACAAAAACACCAACUCACCGUCCGCUGUAUUAUUUCCAUAUGGACAUCGACAUAUGCUUUCUAAACAGGCACAAAUGGCCCCAGGUGGAGGAGACAUAUGUUAUAAUUUUACACUAGUUUACUUUUAGAAACGGUGUUUACUUCCUCUCGUGGUCACUAUGACAUAUGAGCGAAAUUUCUCAAUAAAAUGCACAUUUGUGUGGGGCUGGUUUGAGGAGCAUGCAGCCUCCAUUGGUCCACAUUCAUUAAGGUUUGCAGGCUGCGGUUUGACAGUCUAACAGCAGCCAAAGUGUCACACAAGCAGUCAAAUCCAGUGAAUCAGUCUGUCACUGAAAAUCCCAUUAUCACUCCUUGGGUAGAGGUAGCCCAGAGUAAGAGACUGAGCUGAAUUACCUCUCUGUAUACUGUAUCUCCUCUCCUUGCGCCUGUGUUUGAGGGCAGAGGCCACGAAAAUAAUCUCCUACACAGUGUCACACCAACAGCUCCAGCCUCUAUCCACCUACUCAGGCUAACAAAUUAAAAUCCAGCUAUGAAAACCAAAUAAUGAGUAAACAAAAAGCCAUUUUAUAAAGACCUCAUAGAAAAACCAGCCCCAGGGGGGAGGGGGAAUAUAAAUUCUAGUUAAGAAGGCGCCACAGUAAUCCCACAUUUUAAUGGUCUUAUCUUAAUUAUGGAGAAAUUGUGCUCCCCCGCGGGGCAAAGGAGCCAUCACCGAGGCAAUAAAAGUACAGGGAGGGAAUUUUUGUUGCGUUAAUUCAUGUAAACACACAUACAUAAGCAUUUAAUGCAUGCAAACCCUUUUAAUAGACGUCAGAUGACACACACACACAUGGUUACACCGCAUGGCCUGGCUCAAGGAAGGAUGAAUGAGACCCAAGAGCCAUUAGUCAUGUGUGACCCAGCCAGGCGUAAUCAGAGCCUAAUUCAACAGAGAUACCACCUCUGAGGCUAAAGCCCGAUCCUCAUUAAUCAUUACUGCAUCAGCUAAAGCACCGGCCUAUGGCUUCAGUCUUUAUUAAUGGCACCCCACUUUAACUCCCUCCGUUUCUGGUCAAGCUACAGUGCUCCGAGACAGCAGAGAUCAGAAAUCCAAAGAGACUCUGAGGGCAAACAAGUGGUCCCAAGAAUAAAGCAGAGGAAGUGAAUUAAAGCCGCUAUUACACCCAACACAAACGCUCACAAUUAAUUCUAUUUUGAACGGCACAAAACAGCUUAAGAGCUCAAAAUCAGGCGUCUAAUAAUCCACUACUGUAAGACUCUAUCUCCCUCUUUCUCUCAGUUAGAGAAUAAGCUAAAUAUAGGGAGGAAAAGAACGGCGUGGGAUUUUCACUCGCUCCGUGAAUUCAUUAUGAGAAAAAAGAUGUCAUUGACACAGAUUUCAGGAGUUUAGAGGAUUGUAUUUGUCAAUUUUCUUGGCUGUAAUACAGUGAAUACACUUAAAAAAGACAGACUCAGAGUGGGUUUCCAGUUCUGGGAUGUCUGCGCUACAAACUCCCCAUAUUUUAAAUCAUUUGGAAAGUUGUGAAUUGAUCCCAAAGGGUGACGCCUCCCUGGUUUCCUGUCAGCUCCGUACUUCCUAAAACAAAAGUCUAAUAACGCCCCAAAAGAGCGCUGAAUAAGAAAUACUGCUGGAGCCACUCAGUUUGGUAAAAGUUGGUGACUUUGUCUGAUAUUAUCCUCUGAGGGUGGUAGACUUUAAAGAAAAGAGACAGGAAUGACUAAGAUGUAAUUCUGCUUAUUGAUCUCAUUCUGUGGGAUCAAAUCUUGGGAACUUUUUUGGGGGGAACUGUUGGCGUUUUUUGUGUCAGUAAUAUAUUCUAUCAAACUUUAUCAUCUUUACUGCUUUGCUAAAACCAGGAAGAAGCCUUUGAAAGUCAGCAAAUCACAGCCUCUGAUUGGUGAUGGCCAAUGUCAAAGAUGGCGGCAUAGUUGGCUAACAACAGAAAUCUCUCAAUGACACUGAAAUAAAUACAUAAAUAAUCACAGAUCACCUUUGUUUUUUAAGGGACAGGAGUUUAUUGCCGGGAAAGGUGUCGCUCUCACAAACCGAGUGGAUUUGGUGUCUAUAUUGUCCUGAUUUAACUGCAAAGCAUAAAGGUAAAUGAUGCAAAUGGUUCAAAAAAGUUGGAACUGGUUCUGAUCUGAAACGGUUUUAAAUUCCUAAUAAAUUCAACAACAAGUUCUUAAAUGAUUUAUAUAAACUGCAGUUCCCAAAUUGGCCUCUUGGGGUCAGCUUUAACAGUGAGCCAGUUCCCAUAAGGUCCCAUGUAAAAAUGUCAGCCCUUAAAGUUAAACAUGUUUAUGUGAUCUCUAUGUUUCUUUUUAAUUUAAUUUAAUUUUUAAUUUAUUCAUUUAAUUUUAUUUAUUAUUAUUAUUAUUAUUAUUAUUUUUUAUUAUUUUUUUUUUUUCAUGGCCACUAUAAUACAGGGUGAAUUUUUCAUUUUAGCCUUUUCCAAUCUCCAUGUUUUAAAUUAAUUAAUUAAUUUAUUUAAUUUAUUCAUUUAUUUAUUUCCACUUUUUCCACCUACUUCAGGUCACUACUGGUGAACAAAAAAUCUGAAAUAACAUGAUGCUCAUUUGCUGAAGUCAAAGUAUCAAAAAGGCCACACAAAGUUUGGUUUGGGAAAAAUAACCCUUUUUUUCCGGAAUUGAAACAUUUCAAACCCAAAUCCAGUAAGUCUGUCCCGCUCAGGGCGAAUCCUCGUCUUCUCACUUAGCUUAUGUCUUCAUACCGACGUUGAAUGCCAUAUGGACGCCUCUAAAUUCUGCUCUGUGUUGUAUGAUUCAACUAAAGGGCAGCAUUUAUCAUAUUUGCCAUGGAGUGAACUAGAGUCGCUUUCCUCUCGCUGUGAGCAGAGACCAAUUUAGGAAGUGGAAAAUGGAAAAACCUGGAGUGGCCUGGAGCAGAGUGAUUACAGGAUGAUUUGAGUGUGGGGCUGAAAUUGCUGCUGAGCCGCUCCGCUCAUAAAUGUGUGUGAGUGUGUGUAUGUCUCUGUUGAAAGUAGCACAUAAAACAAGUGCUACUGUUUUAGAUAAGAGUUUGCAAUCAUUUGAGGACCUCUUGGCGCCUGUUCCUAUUUUGAGACCAAGGGUCAGCAAGAGUUCUCAGGACCAGGUUUGUUCGGCUUUAGUCAACAUUCAGAUCAGGACACUCCUGUUUUUUCAGAUUUAUCAUAAACUCCUGUACUCAUCGACAUGUUUGGAUGAUGAUCUCGACUUCCCCAUUAGUCCGACUC